UAAGUUGUGUAGUAAAUAUUCAGAGGUUC
rnacentral:piRNA from 1 species